rnacentral:rRNA from 1 species
CGGUGUUCAACUGGCGUGUCCGCGGGACGUCCUGCCGGUGGGCUUAGCCCGCAAGGGCGGCCCAACUUCAAAUCCCAUCGCGGUGCUCUUCACUGAGUGUCGAGGUGGGCCGGCACGUUUACUUUGAACAAAUUAGAGUGCUUAAAGCAGGCUAAAACUUCGCCUGAAUACUGUGUGCAUGGAAUAAUGGAAUAGGACCUCGGUUCUAUUUUGUUGGUUUUCGGAACCCCGAGGUAAUGAUUAAUAGGAACGGAUGGGGGCAUUCGUAUUGCGACGUUAGAGGUGAAAUUCUUGGAUCGUCGCAAGACGGACAGAAGCGAAAGCAUUUGCCAAAAACGCUUUCAUUGAUCAAGAACGAAAGUUAGAGGUUCGAAGGCGAUCAGAUACCGCCCUAGUUCUAACCAUAAACGAUGCCAGCUAGCGAUCCGUCGACGUUCCUCCGAUGACUCGACGGGCAGCUUCCGGGAAACCAAAGCUUUUGGGUUCCGGGGGAAGUAUGGUUGCAAAGCUGAAACUUAAAGGAAUUGACGGAAGGGCACCACCAGGAGUGGAGCCUACGGCUUAAUUUGACUCAACACGGGAAACCUCACCAGGCCCGGACACCGGAAGGAUUGACAGAUUGAGAGCUCUUUCUUGAUUCGGUGGGUGGUGGUGCAUGGCCGUUCUUAGUUGGUGGAGCGAUUUGUCUGGUUAAUUCCGAUAACGAACGAGACUCUAGCCUGCUAACUAGGCGUAUUUUCGACAUCUCAAAGGUCCGUCGUCCCGGCCCUCGGGUCGUGGGCGUGCGCGAUUUUUACUGUCGGCGUACUAUCAAUUCUUCUUAGAGGGACAGGUGGCUUCUAGCCGCACGAGAUUGAGCAAUAACAGGUCUGUGAUG